AGGGUUUGAUUAUGGCUCAGGAUGAACGCUGGCGGCGUGCUUAACACAUGCAAGUCGAGCGAAGCACUCUGUAUGAAGUUUUCGGAUGGAUUACAGUUUGACUGAGCGGCGGACGGGUGAGUAACGCGUGGGCAACCUGCCUUACACAGGGGGAUAACAGUUAGAAAUGACUGCUAAUACCGCAUAACCCGCUAGGGCCGCAUGGCCCGGACGGAAAAGAUUUAUCGGUGUAAGAUGGACCCGCGUCUGAUUAGCUAGUUGGUGAGGUAAAGGCCCACCAAGGCGACGAUCAGUAGCCGACCUGAGAGGGUGAUCGGCCACAUUGGGACUGAGACACGGCCCAA
rnacentral:rRNA from 1 species